AGUGAACGCUGGCGGUAGGCCUAACACAUGCAAGUCGAACGGCAGCACAGUAAGAGCUUGCUCUUACGGGUGGCGAGUGGCGGACGGGUGAGGAAUACAUCGGAAUCUACUUUUUCGUGGGGGAUAACGUAGGGAAACUUACGCUAAUACCGCAUACGACCUACGGGUGGAAGCAGGGGAUCUUCGGACCUUGCGCGAUUGAAUGAGCCGAUGUCGGAUUAGCUAGUUGGCGGGGUAAAGGCCCACCAAGGCGACGAUCCGUAGCUGGUCUGAGAGGAUGAUCAGCCACACUGGAACUGAGACACGGUCCAGACUCCUACGGGAGGCAGCAGUGGGGAAUAUUGGACAAUGGGCGCAAGCCUGAUCCAGCCAUACCGCGUGGGUGAAGAAGGCCUUCGGGUUGUAAAGCCCUUUUGUUGGGAAAGAAAAGCAGCAGGUUAAUACCCCGCUGCUCUGACGGUACCCAAAGAAUAAGCACCGGCUAACUUCGUG
rnacentral:rRNA from 1 species